rnacentral:rRNA from 1 species
GGGAAAGUUGAAAGCACUUUGAAGAGAGAGUUAAAGAGGACGUGAAACCGAUGAGAUGGAAACGGACAGAGCUAGCGUAUCCGACUUGCAUUCAGCUUGUGCAGUCGCUGCCCAUGAAUCGCUGACCUCCAGAUUGGGGCUGUUGACUAGUGGGCCGGUGGCGGUGCAGUGCAUUUGCAAGUGGAGUGCGUCGAGGCAUUCGGGAUGGCGGAAUGAACUGGGCUUUGAGGCCAGCUUGCUGGUACCCGGGCUUGGGGAUUUCUGUUCGUUCUGGGUGUUCCCACACAUUAUGGACAAGGCUUUGCGAGUUGGGCUGGGUGCCAANCUGGGAGUCGGUGGCGGUCGCAUGCGACACGUACUGUGCCUCUGGUUUGGUCCUGGUCAAGCUCCACCUCUGUUCGCGCUCGACGUAAAAGCUGGUCAUCUUUCCGACCCGUCUUGAAACACGGACCAAGGAGUUUAUCGUGUGCGGCGAGUCAUUGGGCGUUGAAAACCCAAAGGCGCAAUGAAAGUGAACGUUUCCAUAUCGGAGCCGACGUGCGAUCCUGGUCACCGCGGUGGCCAGGCGCAGCAUGGCCCCAUCCCGACUGCUUGCAGUGGGGUGGAGGAAGAGCGUACGCGAUGAGACCCGAAAGAUGGUGAACUAUUCCUGAGCAGGACGAAGCCAGAGGAAACUCUGGUGGAAGUCCGAAGCGAUUCUGACGUGCAAAUCGAUCGUCUGACUUGGGUAUAGGGGCGAAAGAUAAUCGAACCAUC